rnacentral:rRNA from 1 species
UACGAAGGGGGCUAGCGUUGCUCGGAAUUACUGGGCGUAAAGCGCACGUAGGCGGUCUUUUAAGUCGGGGGUGAAAUCCUGGAGCUCAACUCCAGAACUGCCUCGAUACUGGAAGACUCGAGUCCGGGAGAGGUGGAGUGGAACUGCGAGUGUAGAGGUGAAAUUCGUAGAUAUUCGCAAGAACACCAGUGGCGAAGGCGGCUCGACUGGCCCG